rnacentral:rRNA from 1 species
UACGUAGGGGGCAAGCGUUGUCCGGAAUCAUUGGGCGUAAAGAGCGGGUAGGUGGCUCGGUAAGUCCGCUGUGAAAGUCCAGGGCUCAACCCUGGAAAGCCGGUGGAAACUGUCGAGCUCGAGUCCGGAAGAGGCGAGUGGAAUUCCUGGUGUAGCGGUGAAAUGCGCAGAUAUCGGGAAGAACACCCGUGGCGAAGGCGGCUCUCUGGGACGGUACUGACGCUGAGACGCGAAAGCGUGGGGAGCGAACAGG